GCUUGUCUCAAAGAUUAAGCCAUGCAUGUCUAAGUAUAAAUAGUAUACAGUGAAACUGCGAAUGGCUCAUUAAAACAGUUAUAGUUUAUUUGAUAAUUGAAAAUUACAUGGAUAACCGUGGUAAUUCUAGAGCUAAUACAUGCUAUCAAGCCCGACUUCUUGAAGGGUUGUAUUUAUUAGACUUAAGCCAAUAUUCCUUGUGUCUAUUGCGAUGAUUCAUAAUAACUGAUCGAAUCUCAAAUUUGAGAUAAAUCAUUCAAAUUUCUGCCCUAUCAGCUUUCGACGGUAGUGUAGUGGACUACCGUGGCGUUAACGGGUAACGGAGAAUUAGGGUUCGAUUCCGGAGAGGGAGCCUGAGAAACGGCUACCACAUCCAAGGAAGGCAGCAGG
rnacentral:rRNA from 1 species